GCCUCAGCGGUGCCUCUGCAGGCUCAUCUGGUAAGACGGUACCAGCUUGCUCAGAACAGGGGCUGGCUAUUCAUCGUCUCAGAGCAUAGAGACCCUCUCCUUGCCACCCGGCCCUUCCUACCUGGUUGGUGACAAAUCACAAGGUGGUAGAAGUUGCCAGGGACAGAUAACAUGGCAGCCAGCGGGAAGACCAGCAAUUUCGAACCGAACCAUGUUAUCUUCAAGAAGAUCUCCCGGGACAAAUCGGUGACCAUCUACCUGGGGAAGAGAGACUACAUAGACCAUGUCAGCCAAGUCCAGCCUGUGGAUGGUGUCGUGUUGGUUGAUCCUGAUCUUGUGAAGGGAAAGAAAGUGUAUGUCACUCUGACCUGCGCCUUCCGCUAUGGCCAAGAGGACAUUGACGUGAUCGGCUUGACCUUCCGCAGGGACCUGUACUUCUCCCGGGUCCAGGUGUAUCCUCCUGUGGGGGCCGCGAGCACCCCCACAAAACUACAAGAAAGCCUGCUCAAAAAGCUGGGGAACAACACGUACCCCUUUCUCCUGACGUUUCCUGACUACUUGCCCUGUUCAGUGAUGUUGCAGCCAGCUCCACAAGAUUCAGGGAAGUCCUGUGGGGUUGACUUUGAGGUCAAAGCAUUCGCCACAGACAGCACCGAUGCCGAAGAGGACAAAAUCCCCAAGAAGUAAGAGUAUGGUUGCGGAAUAAGUGAGGGGUCUGCGGUGGGGGUGGAGAGAAGAGACGGCCCCCAUCUUGUCUCUGUGGGACAGACCUCUUCCCGUAGGGCUGGCACGGCUGGGGUACCAUCUGCAUGUGGGAUGGAGGUCAAAGGUUGAUCAUUUUUGGGGAAAAAAAGGAAAACAAGAAAAUGACAGGGAAGUUAGCAACCUCCAGGGCUCAUGUAAGCCCCGAAAAGCUCCCGGGUUUCCCCUUUGUUUAGAUUUUGUUGUUGUUGUUGUUUGUUUGUUUUUUGUGGUAAAAUAUACACAAUAUGAAGUUUGCCAUUUUAACCACUUUUUUUUUCUUUUUUUCUUUUAUUUUUUGAAGUGGAGCCUUGCUGUGUCCCCCAGGCUGGAGUGCAAUGUGACCUCGGUUCACUGCAACCUCUGCCUCCCAGAUUCAAGCGAUUCUCCUGCCUCAGCCUCCCGAGUAGCUGGGAUUACAGGCGUGUGCCACCACGCCUGGCUAAUUUUUUUUUUUUUUUGUAUAUUUAGUAGAGAUGGGUUUCACCAUGUUGGCCGGGCUGGUCUCGAACUCCUGACCUCGUCACCCACCCACAUUGGCCUCCCAAAAUGCUGGGAUUACAGGCGUGAGCCACUGUGCCCGGCCCAUUUUAACCACUUUUAAAUGUACCAUUCAGUGGCUUAAGUACAUUCUGAAUGUUGUGUAGCCUUCACCACUGUCUAUACCCAAAACUUUCCCAUUGCCCGAGCAGGAACUCUACAACCAUUAAGCCUUCCACUCCAUCCCCCCCAUUCUCCCACCCCCUGUGCUGUUUUCUUUUUUCACCUAAACAAGAUUUCCGCCUGGCCCGUCACACUGUCUCCUCAUACCCCAUGUACACAUCUCUGGAGGCGCAGGAUAGAGAGCUGCAGUAAUGGAGCUUGCAUGUAUAUGGCAGCUAUUCCAUGAGGCCCUUGACGCCCUCACACCUCAGCCUCGCUGAUAGGAGGCAGAGCUGGGAACCCACGGAGCCUAAGAGGCUAAGCUUGGCCCUCGGGAUGUUGCCAGGCCCCACAGCUUCCCCCACAGGGAAGGGACCAGAAACCAGACCCCCAGGCUCUUCCACCAUCAGGGCUGCCUCAGGCUCUGACCAGUGUCCUUGCCCUCUUCCCGUCCACCCUGUCUCCGUGGGGAGCGUUCCUGGAGAAUCUCCGUGUGACGGUGGGGAGAGAACAGAGGCCUCCCUGAAGCGGCCUGGGUGCCAAUCCCUGGCUUGUCUGUGGCUGCUCCCCGCAGGAGCUCCGUGCGAUUACUGAUCCGCAAAGUACAGCAUGCCCCACUUGAGAUGGGUCCCCAGCCCCGAGCUGAGGCGGCCUGGCAGUUCUUCAUGUCUGACAAGCCCCUGCACCUUGCGGUCUCGCUCAACAAAGAGAUCUAUUUCCAUGGGGAGCCCAUCCCUGUGACCGUGACUGUCACCAAUAACACAGAGAAGACCGUGAAGAAGAUUAAAGCAUUCGUGGAACAGGUGGCCAACGUGGUUCUCUACUCGAGUGAUUAUUACGUCAAGCCCGUGGCUAUGGAGGAAGCGCACACGCACGUAAGUGGAGGAGCCAACUCUCCAGCCCCAGAGGCUGCUUCAUGAUCCUGGCCAUGCUGCCAUGUGUCUGCCUGGAGAAACACACAUUGCUGUGUCCCCAGCUUGAUCCCAGACCCGCCUGUUGGCACAGGGUCCCCGCCAUCUGUCAGAUGUUGAGAAAUCUAUACCCCAACUGAUGACGAAGAAGAUCCAGUAGAGAAAGAGCAUGUGCUGCUUUGGACCCAAGCUAUUUGGUCUGUGUGAGCCACAAAUUGUGGGUCCCUGCAUUGCCCCUCUAGACAACUUACCACACAGUCACACUGUGACCCCCUUAUAGUGACAGUUUUUGGUGACAAGAGGCUUUCUGGCCUGGACUCGUUGCUGACACCAGCGAAAAGGUUCUGCAGGCCACUGUGUGGUUCACAAAGUCUCAGGAGGAGGCUGUGGUCUCUGACUCUCGAGCCAGUUUGUCUCAUUAACUCCAUAGAACAUUCUAGAAAUUCAGCAAAUUCAGAAUAGGCUGAGUUGCUUGAAGAAAUAUCCUCCUGUUGUUGCCAGCCCACCCUGAGAUUUCACAAGCACUGUUCUGCUUCUCAGAAAAAGUGCCGCCAAACAGCACUUUGACCAAGACACUGACGCUACUGCCCUUGCUGGCUAACAAUCGAGAAAGGAGAGGCAUUGCCCUGGAUGGGAAAAUCAAGCAUGAGGACACAAACCUUGCCUCCAGCACCAUCAUUAAGGAGGGCAUAGACCGGACCGUCCUGGGGAUCCUGGUGUCUUACCAGAUCAAGGUGAAGCUUACGGUGUCAGGCUUUCUGGGAGAGCUCACCUCCAGUGAAGUCGCCACUGAGGUCCCAUUCCGCCUCAUGCACCCUCAGCCUGAGGACCCAGCUAAGGAAAGUUAUCAGGAUGCAAAUUUAGUUUUUGAGGAGUUUGCUCGCCAUAAUCUGAAAGAUGCAGGAGAAGCUGAGGAGGGGAAGAGAGACAAGAAUGACAUUGAUGAGUGAAGAUGUCAGCUCAGGAUGCCGGAAAAUGACCUGUAGUUACCAGUGCAACGAGCAAAGCCUCACAGUUUAGUCCUUUGGAGUUAUGCUACAUAUGAAAGGAUGAGUCUUAUUCCGAGAAAUAAAGCUUGUUUGUUCUCCCCUG
rnacentral:sRNA from 1 species